CCAAUAGCGUAUAUUAAAGUUGUUGCAGUUAAAAAGCUCGUAGUUGAAUUUCGGGGUUUGUCAGUUGGUCGAGCUUAAUUGUCCGUACUGACUCGAUGGAUUCCUACCUUCUGAAUAACCAGCAUGCUAUUAAGUUAGUGCGUUGGGGAAGCAGAUCUAUUACCUUGAAAAAAUUAGAGUGCUUAAAGCAAGCUAUUGCUUAAAUAGAUUAGCAUGGAAUAAUAAAAUAGGACGGCAUGGUUUUAUUUUGUUGGUUUCUAGGAUCACCGUAAUGAUUAAUAGGGAUAGUUGGGGGCAUUAGUAUUCAAUUGUCAGAGGUGAAAUUCUUGGAUUUAUUGAAGACUAACUUCUGCGAAAGCAUUUGUCAAGGAUGUUUUCAUUAAUCAAGAACGAAAGUUAGGGGAUCGAAGACGAUCAGAUACCGUCGUAGUCUUAACCAUAAACUAUGCCGACUAGGAAUCGGACGAUGUUGAUUUUUUAAUGACUCGUUCGGCACCUUACG
rnacentral:rRNA from 1 species